AUUUUUUCAUUCCAGUGCCUGCCAUAUUAAUAGGAACUUAUUUUGUCGGAAUGGAUAUCUUGAGGGUUUUACAGGGUGAUAAAUAUAGAUCUGCAUCAGCUCCAUUAGGUGGUGCUAUAAUUGCUGCAAUGGUAUUCCUAGGUCUAAGGAAGGGGUGGCGUUUCUAAAGCAGUGACAUACAUUCUUGUUUUUUUUCUUUAUCUGGAGUUGCUCAACGUGGUAUUUGGUGCUUCUUUCUUCGAUGAAUUUUAGCUUAACUAGAGUAGGUUUGAAAUCAAAUGUUGUCCGAUCAUUAAGCUUUCCAAUAAAUUGGUCACAUUUCGAAUGUAAUUGUCACCUUGUCGUCACAACAAGCAAAUUUGAUAUUUCAGAUUCUAGUUUCCUAGUAUAUACUCUAUAGGAUAGUUUUAUCAUGUUUAAUCUAGCCUAGGUUUAACGUUACAAGUGUAUUGUUUAAGACAUUUCAAGCAACUUGUAUUGGAGAUGAACUUCUUUAGAUUUCUAUCCUAUACCUGAUUUGGUUAUUUUGUCAUCUUUAUUUAAGUUUGUGAUGUUUUCCUUGCUUUAGCUAUUAGUUUUUUUUUUUUUGAAAAUAAUAUUAAUUCAUUGAUUCAAAGUCAUACGACAUCUACAAUAGAAGUCAAAACUAAACAAAUACAUAUCAAAAUGAAAUAAAUACAAAUCUAAUAUGAUAAAACCACGAUCGUUGAGUAGAUCUAACAUUUCUGAAAACCCUUGUCUUUUCCAUCACUGUCUGAUGCAGCCUUCUGCAAGAGGGUCUAUCGAUCUUUUGUAGUUUUGAAAUAAAAUCGGAUUCAAUUCAAGUGAUUGUAAACGAAGUCUUGACAUCUGUUGCA